rnacentral:tRNA from 1 species
GGGCCAUUAGCUCAUCUGGUAGAGCGUCCGCCUUUUAAGCGGAGGGUGGAAGGUUCGAGUCCUUCAUGGCCCACCA